CAUCAACUUACUUGAGCAUCACCGGACAGUGUGGAAGAUCGCCAAAGUGAGAACAUCAACAAGAGCCACAUGUUAGCUGACAGCCACGUCGGCUAACCCCUCGAGAACCACCAGAGGCAUCAACUUUUCACCAUCAUCAUAGUCACCAUCGUAUCAUCACGCAACACCAUCUUCAGGAGCGACGGCUAACCCCCGAGAACUGCCAGGCAUCAUCAUUCACCGCUGUGUGUCCAUCAUUGUACUCACCGGAUUCACCCCCUUGAGCACAUCAUUAGGAGCAACGGUGAGGAAUAACAUCUGUUUAGCCGUUUAGUGCCCUUGUCCCAUCUCCUGCACUAUAUCAAUGGUUAGCCACAGAAAUGUUAGCAAAUGCCGACAAGAAUAACGGUUGUCCCGAACGUUCCCAAUGCACUGACCAGGCUAACGUUGUAAGCGUCACUGGUGAAAAAGAAUAUGUUUACGAUCUUCACGAUCUUUACAGAUACUGAUUACUGAUACUGAUAACUGAUAUUACUGAUAACUGAUAUUACUGAUACUGACUACUGAUACUGAUAACCAUUAGUAGCCAUUACUAAUUAUUGAUAUUUACAACCAUCAGUAGCCAUUACUGAUACUGAUGCUGAUUACCAUCAGUAGCCUUACACUAGUUACACUAGCCUUACAGUAGUUACUAUUAUUUACAUAACACUAGUUAUUAUUACUGAUGGGUUCUACACGAAGAGAAGUUUAUUACUAUUUCUUUAAUAGUGAUUUAACUAAGAUAAGAGGAUAAUUUCAUUGUUGUUAUGAAUGUAAUGUUUCAUUGCACUAUGCAAUUUAGUGAAGCCUUUCACAGUAUUUAAAUUAAAGUAAAUAGAGGGUAAUUUUUAGUGCAGUUCUUCUUACAUGAAUAGGCCUAUUAGUGUAAGAGGAUAUUAAGCACGUCUCUGACAGUGAUCCCUUCUAAGCUUUAGAUUCUAAUGUGUAUUUUAUGUUUUAUGUUGUAUGUAUUUAUUGUUGAGACAUUUUGAAUGUAGUUUUAUUGGACCCUUUGCUACCUGCGUUUUGGUAGAAAGACGUAGCACAUGAACGUCUUGUUUUCAUGCACUUGAAUUUAAUGAUUAGAGAAGAUUUAAGAAGAUAUGUGAUUUGUCAUCCCAGUAUGACAAUUAGAUAAUAUGAUGCAUCUUAGAUUAAUUGUACAUUGUACUAAUUGAAAUGUAUGUAUGGAUGAAUGUGACCUAUCAGGUCAGGUUUUUUGGAAGGAUAGAAACCAAAGAAGACGACUGGGCCAGGACUUCACCUGGUCAAGGACACUGAUGGCGAGCCUUUCCCAGAGCUUUUCCCAGAGCCUUUCCCAGAGCGACCACAGAUACCCUUAAGUACCCUACCAAGGAACUUUCCCCCCCCUUUUCCACUUUUUACCAUUUUUAUUUUGUUUAAGGCCACGUGGACCAUUGUUUAUUUGAAGUGUGCACACUAUUUUAUUUUAUUUGGGUUUUUAUACAUUCAAACAUUUGUAAACAAUAUACGAGUUUUUCACUCAAAAAGGAUUUAUCUUGUCUGACUCAUUAUUGUUGCAUAACACUCGCUCCUCUCUCUUACUUA